UACGUAGGGUGCAAGCGUUGUCCGGAAUUAUUGGGCGUAAAGAGCUCGUAGGCGGUUUGUCGCGUCUGCUGUGAAAACCCGAGGCUCAACCUCGGGCCUGCAGUGGGUACGGGCAGACUAGAGUGCGGUAGGGGAGAUUGGAAUUCCUGGUGUAGCGGUGGAAUGCGCAGAUAUCAGGAAGAACACCCGUGGCGAAGGCGGCUCUCUGGGACGUGACUGACGCUGAGACGCGAAAGCGUGGGGAGCGAACAGG
rnacentral:rRNA from 1 species